UUCUUCACUGAGUUAGUGUAAGACCCCCUUUCGGGGACCCCCACACUAGUCUCGGGAGUGAGAGAGCACCCAAAGAAACACGAGGACUC
rnacentral:pre_miRNA from 7 species